rnacentral:rRNA from 1 species
AUUGAACGCUGGCGGCAGGCCUAACACAUGCAAGUCGAGCGGCUGCAGGGAGCUUGCUCCUGGAUUCAGCGGCGGACGGGUGAGUAAUGCCUAGGAAUCUGCCUGGUAGUGGGGGAUAACGUCCGGACACGGGCGCUAAUACCCCAUACGUCCUGAGGGAGAAAGUGGGGGAUCUUCGGACCUCACGCUAUCAGAUGAGCCUAGGUCGGAUUAGCUAGUUGGUGGGGUAAAGGCCUACCAAGGCGACGAUCCGUAACUGGUCUGAGAGGAUGACCAGUCACACUGGAACUGAGACACGGUCCAGACUCCUACGGGAGGCAGCAGUGGGGAAUAUUGGACAAUGGGCGAAAGCCUGAUCCAGCCAUGCCGCGUGUGUGAAGAAGGUCUUCGGAUUGUAAAGCACUUUAAUUGGGGAGGAAGGGCAGUAAGUUAAUACCUUGCUGUUUUGACGUUACCAACAGAAUAAGCACCGGCUAACUUCGUG